rnacentral:rRNA from 2 species
AACAGCUCAAAUUUGAAAUCUGGCCCUAGGCCCGAGUUGUAAUUUGCAGAGGAUGCUUUUGGUGCGGUGCCUUCCAAGUUCCCUAGAACGGGACGCCAGAGAGGGUGAGAGCCCCGUACAGUUGGACACCAAGCCUUUGUAAAGCUCCUUCGACGAGUCGAGUAGUUUGGGAAUGCUGCUCAAAAUGGGAGGUAUAUUUCUUCUAAAGCUAAAUACCGGCCAGAGACCGAUAGCGCACAAGUAGAGUGAUCGAAAGAUGAAAAGCACUUUGAAAAGAGGGUUAAACAGCACGUGAAAUUGUUAAAAGGGAAGCGCUUGUGACCAGACUUGCGUCCGGUGAAUCACCCAGCUCUCGCGGCUGGGGCACUUCGCCGGCUCAGGCCAGCAUCAGCUCGCUGUCGGGGACAAAAGCUUCAGGAACGUAGCUCUCUUCGGGGAGUGUUAUAGCCUGUUGCAUAAUACCCUUCGGCGGGCUGAGGUACGCGCUCCGCAAGGAUGCUGGCAUAAUGGUCAUCAGCGACCCGUCUUGAAACACGGACCAAGGAGUCAACCUUAUGUGCGAGUGUUCGGGUGUCAACCCCUACGCGUAAUGAAAGUGAACGCAGGUGAGAGCUUCGGCGCAUCAUCGACCGAUCCUGAUGUUCUCGGAUGGAUUUGAGUAAGAGCAUAUAGGGUUGGACCCGAAAGAAGGUGAACUAUGCGUGUAUAGGGUGAAGCCAGAGGAAACUCUGGUGGAGGCUCGCAGCGGUUCUGACGUGCAAAUCGAUCGUCAAAUAUGCGCAUGGGGGCGAAAGACUAAUCGAACCUUCUAGUAGCUGGUUUCCGCCGAAGUUUCCCUCAGGAUAGCAGUGUUGAACUCAGUUUUAUGAGGUAAAGCGAAUGAUUAGGGACUCGGGGGCGCUAUAUUGCCUUCAUCCAUUCUCAAACUUUAAAUAUGUAAGAAGCCCUUGUUGCUUAAUUGAACGUGGGCAUUCGAAUGUAUCAACACUAGUGGGCCAUUUUUGGUAAGCAGAACUGGCGAUGCGGGAUGAACCGAACGCGAGGUUAAGGUGCCAGAGUAGACGCUCAUCAGACACCACAAAAGGUGUUAGUACAUCUUGACAGCAGGACGGUGGCCAUGGAAGUCGGAAUCCGCUAAGGACUGUGUAACAACUCACCUGCCGAAUGUACUAGCCCUGAAAAUGGAUGGCGCUCAAGCGUCUCACCCAUACCUCGCCCUCA